GGGAAACUGAACGCCAAAAAUAAGUAUGGCUUAUCCGAAGGAGAAUUGGGCACUGAUUCCGAUGAGCUAUGUCUCGAGCCGAUCAGAGAAGAGGAACCGUGUCAAAUUUCAUAAAUAACACCUUCCAUAUUUGGAAAAUGGGCUUGAUGACGUGCGUACUGCUUAGCUGUCACCAUGCUGUGCAUGCUCAGCAGUGUAAUUGAAUGGAAGAAAACAAUUACUUUGGUGUUUUGCAGCUCUAUUUCGUUCCCUGACGGUACCCAAAUCUAGAUGUAGGAAUCUGUUGAGCAGGAGAGUGACACAUGUCUUCCCGAAGGCUGUCCAGCCUGCAGUGGUGAUGAAGAAGACACGAAUAACACCCCAAGAUCGAUUGUAGCGAAUUGAAAAACUCAUGGUGAAUUUGCUUCCACUCCAAGGCAAUGUCGAGGUAUGAAGGGUGCUUGUACUGCCUUCCAAAGUGAAGCGGAGAUGAACAUGGCUUGGCAUAGCUGUUGUUCUACGCCAACUUACUUACCUACUCUUGCUGGUACCGUAGUGGUAUAUUGCAAAUUUCGUGGACGAACAAUUUGAGUCACUAGUGGCUAGUGAGCAACACUAACAGAGCCUUGACGUUGCUGGACGAGCGACAAUAUAAAUUACAUAAACGUGCAGCAACGUACUCCCCGGACCAGAUGCCGCUGCAGCUGAACACCAUGCCGAUGGAAAGCCAGGAGUUGAUGGCGAAGCAUUCUGGUCUGCACAGUACAAGGCAAAGAACAAUAAUAUUAUGAAUUAUAACGCAUUGUAAUCCUUCCCACACAUCUUUGUAAAAACAAACAAACAGUGCCAUUAUCACAACACUUGAUCAAGCAUCUUGAUGGAGGUAUUUUCCAUUGUGCUGGCCCAGCAUCUGCACCAGGAAGACCAUGUACACUUACAA